ACAUGCAGUCGAACGAUGAAGUUCCUUCGGGAAUGGAUUAGUGGCGAACGGGUGAGGAACACGUGAGAAACCUGCCUUUCAUUCUGGGAUAACACCGGGAAACCGGUGCUAAUACCGGAUACUCCGUCUUGGCGGCGUCGCCGAGCCGGGAAAAAAUUUUGAUGAAAGAUGGUCUCGCGGCCUAUCAGCUAGUUGGUGAGGUAAUGGCUCACCAAGGCGACGACGGGUAGCCGGCCUGAGAGGGCGACCGGCCACACUGGGACUGAGACACGGCCCAGACUCCUACGGGAGGCAGCAGUAGGGAAUAUUGGGCAAUGGGCGCAAGCCUGACCCAGCGACGCCGCGUGAGGGAUGAAGGUCUUCGGAUUGUAAACCUCUUUCAGUAGGGAAGAAGCGAAAGUGACGGUACCUAAAGAAGAAGCACCGGCUAACUAUGUGCCAGCAGCCGCGGUAAUACAUAGGGUGCAAGCGUUGUCCGGAAUUAUUGGGCGUAAAGAGCUCGUAGGUCGUUUGUCGCGUCGAUUGUGAAAAUCUGAGGCUCAACCUCAGACCUGCAGUCGAUACGGGCAAACUAGAGUGUGGUAGGGGAGACUGGAAUUCCUGGUGUAGCGGUGGAAUGCGCAGAUAUCAG
rnacentral:rRNA from 1 species